rnacentral:lncRNA from 10 species
CAGCACUCCAUCAGGAAGGGAGCUUCGAGGCCCAGGGGCUGGCAUCAAACCACCCAGCUUGACAAGGGAUUCUGCACCCUGGAAGAAGACACACGGCCGGCAGCAAUGGUCCCAGGACUGGCGCACGCCAUUGGGGAGCAUCACGCCCAGGCGCAAGAGGGACAAGGCCUGGUGCCCUGGAGCCUCCUCAGCUCUGACCAGGCUUCCUUCUCCCAGAGACAGGGUGAAGCUGGCCUGGACACGGCCUGGGGUGCCCUCCAUGACAGAGCGUUCACAUACUUUCACGCUACAGGUAAAGACCUUGAGGGCUGUCUAGUGUUCCUAAGCACAAACAGGCUGUGAUGAGCCGGAUGUGGUGGCGUGUGCCUGUGGUCCCAGCUACUUGGGAGGCUGAGGUGGGCAAUCACUUGA